rnacentral:rRNA from 1 species
CCUACGGGCGGCUGCAGUGGGGAAUAUUGCACAAUGGGGGAAACCCUGAUGCAGCGACGCCGCGGGAGUGAAGAAGUAUUUCGGUACGUAAAGCGCUAUCAGCAGGGAAGAAAAUGACGGUACCUGACUAAGAAGCCCCGGCUAACUACGUGCCAGCAGCCGCGGUAAUACGUAGGGGGCAAGCGUUAUCCGGAUUUACUGGGUGUAAAGGGAGCGUAGACGGCAGCGCAAGUCUGGAGUGAAAUCCCAUGGCUUAACCAUGGAACUGCUUUGGAAACUGUGCAGCUAGAGUGCAGGAGAGGUAAGCGGAAUUCCUAGUGUAGCGGUGAAAUGCGUAGAUAUUAGGAGGAACACCAGUGGCGAAGGCGGCUUACUGGACUGUAACUGACGUUGAGGCUCGAAAGCGUGGGGAGCAAACAGGAUUAGAUACCCUAGUAGUC